rnacentral:rRNA from 1 species
UACGUAGGGCGCAAGCGUUGUCCGGAAUUAUUGGGCGUAAAGAGCUCGUAGGCGGCUUGUCACGUCGGGUGUGAAAGCCCCGGGGCUUAACCCCGGUCUGCAUUCGAUACGGGCUAGCUAGAGUGUGGUAGGGGAGAUCGGAAUUCCUGGUGUAGCGGUGAAAUGCGCAGAUAUCAGGAGGAACACCGGUGGCGAAGGCGGAUCUCUGGGCCAUUACUGACGCUGAGGAGCGAAAGCGUGGGGAGCGAACAGG